GAGCACUAAGCAACUUUGCAUGUAAAUUCUUUCUUGACCAUUUAGCAGAAACAGAUCUGGCACUUCCCUAUACUAAAUAAAGUAACAUCUGUGGCUUCUUCUCUGUCCAUCAUUUACUUGGUUUCUGAGCAGAAUGUGUGAUACAGAUGAACACAGUGGUGCCCUGCUUCUGCUUUUAUACACAUAGCGGGGAGCAAGAGUCUGAGAAAAUCAGAGGAGACAUAAAUGAGAUACAUAAAUAGAAUGUAAUGCAAGAGGAGAGAAGAGCAUCAUGUCAGGAGAGAGAGGAGAAACAAUGAGAGAAAGAGAAGAAUCCUUCCAUGGAACAGGACAAACAAGGAUUUAAUGAUUCAGUGGAUUCAGCUCAACCCAGUGUGAUCUAACAGAUACAAUCUGAUUGGCCGCUCACUGCCUUGGGAACACCAAUAAACAUCAGGAUGCGGCACAUACAGCCUCAGAUUUGCCAACAUGGAUUUGUGGUUCUGUUCUUUCUCUUGCCCUUGCCUGGGAAGGGAGCUGACAGUCAGACACCAGGUUAUACUCUAUGUGCCCAGCGGUCAGUGUCGGUGGCAUCUGGUCUCUGUGUGGAAAUUCCCUGUACAUUUACUGUUCCUGCCGGUAGCACUUUAUCUACACGUGUCACAGGGAUUUGGAGAAAAGAGACUCCUGACAUUGUUGCAGCCUCUACAGAGGCCUCUAUGGUUUCUGAGGGAACAAA